rnacentral:lncRNA from 1 species
CACCAUCAUGAAUUGAUUCUUAAAAGAAGCCAAUUUGGCUAGUGAGCUGCCACCCUUCUCUCUUCUUUCCUGAUCUAUUGUGUUUAGUCUGUAUUGUGCCCACUCUGAGGACCAGAGGAGGGUUGCCAUGGCAUUCCUGCCAACAGCACUUCAUUCAACAGAAGAUGGUGUCAGAGACAAAAGCAGCAUGGUAGAACGAUGCUGGCUGUCUCCCCUUUGGCCCCUGUUUGAAUGCGGUGCAAGUUGUACUCCAAAGUAACACAAGCAUGUCCAGCUGCUGUCAUUUCCAGCUGCUCACCAGAAUGAGAAUGAGAAAGAGAGCGAAGAUGGGAGCCGCUCUGGAGCCAGGAGCUUUCCUGCUUUAGGACCAGCAAUUAUUGCAGUUUAAGGUGUGUUUACACAAUGGCAAAAAGCACAAGAACAGCUCUAUUAUGAAUGUGUGUUUGACACAUUUGACAGUUUCAUUGUCGGUCCAAUACUGCUUCCUGACUGGUGUGUGCUCA